rnacentral:rRNA from 1 species
CCUACGGGAGGCAGCAGUGAGGAAUAUUGGUCAAUGGGCGGAAGCCUGAACCAGCCAAGUAGCGUGCAGGAUGACGGCCCUACGGGUUGUAAACUGCUUUUAUACGGGAAUAACGCGCCUUACGUGUAGGGCGUUGCAUGUACCGUAUGAAUAAGGCCCGGCUAAUUCCGUUCCAGCAGCCGCGGGAAUACGGGAGGUCCGGUCGUUAUCCGGAUUUUUUGGGGUUUAAGGGAGCGUAGGCCGCAUGUCAAGCGUGCUGUGAAAUGUCCGGGCUCAACCCGGGCCUUGCAGCGCGAACUGGCGUGCUUGAGUCCGCGGAAAGCAGGCGGAAUGCGUCGUGUAGCGGUGAAAUGCUUAGAUAUGACGAAGAACCCCGAUUGCGAAGGCAGCUUGCUGCAGCGGAACUGACGCUGAUGCUCGAAAGCGCGGGUAUCGAACAGGAUUAGAUACCCCGGUAGUC